UUAAAAAAAAAAGUUAUUUUUAACUUGGAAAAAUAUUAACAUUACUAUACCAAUGAGAAAGUAAUGUUCCUUGCAGAUAUUUAUAGUGUGACAAACUUAAGUGACCCAUUUCGCCAACAUUCGAUCAGGAGCUUUUUGAAUUAAGACCAUGAAGAUUUUUUGUACUAAUUAAAGUGUUACUUAAUUGUCAUUAACAUCAAAAGGGAAAUCUCGUAUCAUCAUCCAAUGAAUAAAUUGCUGCAGCAAACCCAGGAUAUUUAAAUACAGAGGUAAAUCUUCGAAUAUCAUUAAACCAAUAUGAAUAGCCGCUGUACC